UGGAUUAGUGGCGAACGGGUGAGUAAUACGUGAGUAACCUGCCCUUGUCUUUGGGAUAAGCCUGGGAAACUGGGUCUAAUACCGGAUAUUCUGCUUUUGCCGCAUGGUGGGGGUUGGAAAGAUUUUUUGGAUGGGGAUGGGCUCACGGCCUAUCAGCUUGUUGGUGGGGUGAUGGCCUACCAAGGCGUCGACGGGUAGCCGGCCUGAGAGGGUGACCGGCCACAUUGGGACUGAGAUACGGCCCAGACUCCUACGGGAGGCAGCAGUGGGGAAUAUUGCACAAUGGACGCAAGUCUGAUGCAGCGACGCCGCGUGGGGGAUGAAGGCUUUCGGGUUGUAAACUCCUUUCAGUACAGAAGAAGCAUUUUUGUGACGGUAUGUGCAGAAGAAGCGCCGGCUAACUACGUGCCAGCAGCCGCGGUAAUACGUAGGGCGCGAGCGUUGUCCGGAAUUAUUGGGCGUAAAGAGCUCGUAGGCGGUUUGUUGCGCCUGCUGUGAAAGACCGGGGCUUAACUUCGGGGUUGCAGUGGGUACGGGCAGACUAGAGUGUGGUAGGGGUAAUUGGAAUUCCUGGUGUAGCGGUGGAAUGCGCAGAUAUCAGGAGGAACACCGAUGGCGAAGGCAGGUUACUGGGCCAUUACUGACGCUGAGGAGCGAAAGCGUGGGUAGCGAACAGGAUU
rnacentral:rRNA from 1 species